AAAACCAUAGGCCCCAUCAGGGUCUGUAUUGGGCAUCGCCCCUGGGCGUAGCCUGAAAGUCAUCGGUCUUAUACGCGGACGAGUUCCAUUAGGACGGACCGUGUCUGGACCCUUAAAUCUCUCUG
rnacentral:misc_RNA from 1 species